GCCCGUUUCUCAAGUGCGCAUUUGAUUUCUUUAUACUUCUUAGGAGCAGUCGUCGUGACAGGUCCUUCACUUGCUGGCAAGGAAGUUGAUCGAGUCUUCUGACGAACGGAGGCUGUGCUGAGUACUUGAUGUGGUGUGGCCUGACAUCUGCAGUGGACCCUGUGCUGGCUCAGGACGCUAUGAGAUGUCCGUGUUACAGUGGCCAAGUCCUGGGCAGGACUGUAUCCCAGAGAAAAGGCAGUAGAGGGUUCCUGUGGACAUGCAUGCCAUCAGUGGUCUCGGGCUGCCAUUUGACGGUGAUGAGCUUUCCAUGGAUUUCUCUGGUGGACCACAGGGGCACUUGCCAUGAGGGCCUGCAGUCUGCUGGCAAGGAAUAUAGUCGAUUUUUUCCAGCAGUGAAGGCCCCACGGAGUCCUGGAUUUGAUAUGACCUGCCAUCCACAGUGCAUCCCGUGCUGGUGGAAGCUCAAUAUGGUAAGCAUUCCUCUGCCCCUCAUGAUGCGUGAGAGUGUCAUUUGGGC
rnacentral:lncRNA from 1 species